UACGGAGGGAGCAAGCGUUACUCGGAAUUAUUGGGCGUAAAGGGCGCGUAGGCGAUCUGACAAGUCUGGUGUGAAAGCCCACAUGUUAACUGUGGAAGUGCAUUAGAAACUGUUGGAUUUGAGUUCAGGAGAGGAAGGCAGAAUUCCUAGUGUAGCGGUGAAAUGCGCAGAUAUUAGGAGGAACACCGGUGGCGAAGGCAGCCCCCUGGGCUGAGAUUGACGCUCAGGCACGAAAGCGUGGGGAGCAAACAGG
rnacentral:rRNA from 1 species